CCUACGGGAGGCAGCAGUGGGGAAUAUUGCGCAAUGGGCGAAAGCCUGACGCAGCGACGCCGCGUGAGGGAAGAAGGCUUUCGGGUUGUAAACUUCUUUUAAGGGGGAAGAGCAGAAGACGGUACCCCUUGAAUAAGCCACGGCUAACUACGUGCCAGCAGCCGCGGUAAUACGUAGGUGGCAAGCGUUGUCCGGAUUUACUGGGUGUAAAGGGCGUGCAGCCGGAGAGACAAGUCAGAUGUGAAAUCCACGGGCUCAACCCGUGAACUGCAUUUGAAACUGUUUCCCUUGAGUGUCGGAGAGGUAAUCGGAAUUCCUUGUGUAGCGGUGAAAUGCGUAGAUAUAAGGAAGAACACCAGUGGCGAAGGCGGAUUACUGGACGAUAACUGACGGUGAGGCGCGAAAGCGUGGGGAGCAAACAGGAUUAGAUACCCGAGUAGUC
rnacentral:rRNA from 1 species